GGGCUGAAGUCAGAAGCAAGUACUGCAAAUACCGAGACUGGUUGAUGUUGGGUAACUAACUGAUGCCGGACUUGUGUUUUUGUGAUCUUGUGGAUUGCUUCAGCUA
rnacentral:sRNA from 1 species